rnacentral:rRNA from 1 species
UAGUCAUAUCGCUUGUCUCAAAGAUUAAGCCAUGCAAGUGUCAGUACGAGCACACACGUAAAGCGAAACUGCGAAUGGCUCAUUAAAUCAGUUGUGGUUCAUUUGAUCGUACCAGUUACAAGGAUAACUGUGGCAAUUCUAGAGCUAAUACAUGCGAAAAGCGCUGACUGCUUCGGCGGGAUGCGUGCUUUUAUCAAGACCAAAAACCGACCUGCUUCGGCAGUGCGCUAUUGGUGACUCUGGAUAACGUUGCGGAUCGCACGGUCUCAGCACCGGCGACGGAUCAUUCAAGCGUCUGCCCUAUCAACUUUCGUCGGUACGGUAUCGGCCUACCGAGGUUGUCACGGGUGACGGGAAUCAGGGUUCGAUUCCGGAGAGGGAGCCUGAGAAACGGCUACCACAUCCAAGGAAGGCAGCAGGCGCGCAAAUUACCCAUUGCCGACUCGGCGAGGUAGUGACGAAAAAUAACGAUGCGAGACUCGAACGAGGCCUCGCAAUCGGAAUGAGUACACUUUAAACGCUUUAACGAGUAUCCAUUGGAGGGCAAGUCUGGUGCCAGCAGCCGCGGUAAUUCCAGCUCCAAAAGUGUAUAUUUAAGUUGCUGCGGUUAAAAAGCUCGUAGUCGGAUGUCGGGCGCGGUCGAUCGGUCCGUCGCGAGACGUGUCACUGGUCGGCCGGCCAAUGCAGCCUGUGUCCCGGCGGUGCUCUUGAUUGAGUGCCGCCGGUGGGCCAGGCCGGUUACUUUGAAAAAAUUAGAGUGUUCAAAGCAGGCCCUGGGAGCCUGAAUAUCGGUGCACGGAAUAACGAAAGAGGACCUCGGUCUUGCUUUUGUUGGUUUUUGAAGGCGCGAGGUAAUGAUCGAGAGAGACGGACGGGGGCAUCCGUACUGUGCCGUCAGAGGUGAAAUUCUUGGACCGGCGCAAGACGAACUACUGCGAAAGCAUUUGCCAAGAAUGUUUUCCUUGAUCAAGAGCGAAAGUCAGAGGUUCGAAGACGAUCAGAUACCGUCCUAGUUCUGACUGUAAACGAUGCCGACUGGCGAUCGGGCGGCGUUUGCUUUUGAAGACCCGCCCGGCAGCCUCCGGGAAACCAAAGUCUUUGGGUUCCGGGGGAAGUAUGGUUGCAAAGCUGAAACUUAAAGGAAUUGACGGAAGGGCACCACCAGGAGUGGAGCCUGCGGCUUAAUUUGACUCAACACGGGGAAUCUCACCCGGCCCGGACACAGCGAGGAUUGACAGAUUGAGAGCUCUUUCUUGAUUCUGUGGGUGGUGGUGCAUGGCCGUUCUUAGUUGGUGGAGCGAUUUGUCUGGUUAAUUCCGAUAACGAACGAGACUCUGGCCUGCUAAAUAGUUACGCGACCCCUGAGCGGUCGGCGGAUUGAACUUCUUAGAGGAACUAGCGGCGUUUAGCCGCACGAGAUUGAGCAAUAACAGGUCUGUGAUGCCCUUAGAUGUUCGGGGCCGCACGCGCGCUACACUGACCGGAUCAGCGUGUCUUUCCCUGGGCCGAAAGGUCCGGGUAAUCCGCUGAACCCCGGUCGUGCUUGGGAUAGAGAGUUGCAAUUGUCGCUCUUGAACGAGGAAUUCCCAGUAAGCGCGAGUCAUCAGCUCGCGUUGAUUACGUCCCUGCCCUUUGUACACACCGCCCGUCGCUACUACCGAUUGAACGGUUUAGUGAGGUCCUCCGAUUGGUCCGGGAUUGGCCGCCCUCGGUGGCCGUACUCCGGACCGAAAAGACGACCGAACUUGAUCGUUUAGAGGAAGUAAAAGUCGUAACAAGGUUUCCGUAGGU